UGGAGGCCAAGCCCUAUCAGAGGGGGUUGGGUAUGGAGGCCAGCAGGGAAUGGUGCGGGAGGCGAGGGGCGCUACUCACUGGAUGUAUGGGCUGCAGCCCUGGCAUGGUCAGGCUCAGCUCUCUAUCCCCUUAGCUUGGUGGGGAGCUGUGCAGAGGAGCACAGUCUUGGUGCUGCCAGAGAGCUAGAAGGGCCUUUUUCUGUGGUUCCCCUAGCCGGACGGGGUGCCUGUGCCUGCUGCAUCAGCUUUAGAUAGGCUGCCCUAGCCCAUCCUCGUGCUUCCCAAGAUGCCUCUUACUGUACCCUCUCAUCCCUGCUGCCCCGGCUUUCUCCAUACCACCCCAUACACUGAGCCAAGGCAGAGACACCUGCUAAACACAAAGGCACAUUUCUGAAGUGAAGUCCUAAGUAUGUGUUGGCAAGGCUAACUCUCUGCGUCAAAUAUUGGCUCCACUGGUAUUUAGCUUGUGAAACCCCACACUCACUUGCCUCUGCGUAUGAAUGGACUUAUCAGAGAUGGGCCAUUUUCACUUGGAUCAGUGUGCAAGACUCAGUCUGGCACUUCAUGCCUCAAUCACCUGGGUUUUUAGAGAAACUAAGAAGCAUAAAUGACCAGAGUCUUCAUCUUGUAAUGGCAGGAAAUUGAUCUUGUGAUCUCUGGGUAAUCUUUUGGAAGGUGUAAAUACUCCAAAGGUCCUACCAAUAUGUUCUUGUUUUCCAGCCCAAAAUACAGCAAGCAGUUAAUACUAUGGGUAUGAGUAAGAAUCACAGCAAUUAAACAUCUAACCUUGUGCUAUUGCUGGAGUCCAUGUAAUUGUCCAUUCAUUGUUUUUUUUCCCAUUAAUCUUAGAGGAACCUACUAGUAGAGUCCUAGCAGAGAAUACCAAACACUCAGUAGCAUGAUAAAAGAUCUCCAGAUAAUUCACACAUACCUAGCACAAACCAUAGCAUCCAGUGAGCUUUGCAAAAUGAAGUUUUAAAUCACAACAUAUGUAGGAGGUAGGUCAAUCUCAUUUUAUCAAUAAAACUUUUCUGUGCCUUGAUUUACUCAGGUGAAUUCCUCAUUAUACAGUGAGUCAAUGAUAAAGCUGAGAACAGAUCUUGAGAAGCCUGAUUUCUAGUCCCAUGCUGCAAACACCAAAAUGCACUCUCCAUUAACGUUUUAUAAUUCCAAAAAGUAUCUGGUUUUUCAGUUACUACUCUGACCAAAUAGAAACUUACCCAAGUCUGUGUGGUGCUUCUGUAGACACAGGCUUGUGCUCCUCAUUUUACUAGCUAAACACCUCUAGCUUUGACCAAUUAGCUAUUUUAACCUGGAGUUUGUCUAUUUCUAAAGGAAAAGUAUACAGUACAGGACUGGGAAUCUGGAGUACUGCAUUCCAAAGUCACCAGGCGGUUUGCUUGAGGGGCUGCCUAUACAAAUGUUUCAGUGCACAAUUAGUCUUAAUCAGUUCAGUUGGACUUCUCAUGUCAAUAAAGUUAUGUUGGUGCUUGAGCAUUUGCUGGAUUGAGCUCUUGGUGGGAAUUUUCUUGUUUAUAAUAUUCCUUUGGAGACCAACUAGUAUCUUAUUGGUCUCUGCGACAAUUGGACAGUGCAUUUCCUCCUUCACUUCACUGCUAACAUCUUUUCUUCAUUCACUGGUAGUGCAUGUAGAUAUGGUAAUUGGAAUGAAAAUAAUCCGUUUCUGAGCCAAACCCCUUAUAGUUAAACAGAUGCUAUAUCUGAGAUUUGUACGGAGGGAUUGUUAUAAAAGUCUCUGUAUCUUGGACUUAAAAGUUCCAGUGCUUAAAAUCAUUUAAAAAACUGGAUUGUUAGAUACUUGUACUAAUAACUAGGCACUAGUUAGGUUACAUCUGGAGCCAAAGUUCAGGGAUAUUCUGAUCUGAUGUUAUUUACCUAAAAUUGUGUAUUUUAAUUUGUUCUAUGCGGGUUAGAUUAUUCCAAAACAAUAUGAAAUAUAAUUGUUUUUCUAGUGCAGAAACUUCCAGGACUUGAUAAUAUAUGGUAGAUAUUGCACAUAACCAAUUUCCAAUGACUUCAGUGGAAGUUGUUUGCAAACACUGGUUGCAUAAUCAGACUCCUAGUAUUCAAAAUGACUAUUUUUAAAUUAUAUUUAAAGUAAGAAUGGCUAGUGUAUAACAGUGAAACUCAAAUGAUGGAGCAGCUUGAUCAAAGCAGCAAAACCAAGAUAACAAGAAACUUGCUUUAUGCCUUUUUUUUUUGGUAGGGAAACAAAUGGAAACAGGAAUAUUCAUAUACAAAAUUACAACAUCAUGAUUGGUAAUGAAUUAGUGGGCUGUUUAAGGCAUAUUCAGUACAUGUGCAGAAUCAUAGAUUGAAUCGAGAAAGAUAAGUGUGCAUGCCAUAGGAGGGCAGCAUACUAAAUCUGAGCAGGGGAAUAGGAAAUGGUCAGGUCAGGAAAAAACUUCCAGAGCAGUCCAUGAAAAGAGGGUCUCACAGUAAAGGGAAACAAUGAAAUCCAAAUCCAUCAGUCAAGAAGUGAGCAAUCUCUGAUUUAAAGUUUGAGUGUAAGUAUAUAUACAGGAAUGACAGGAAGUGUGACACUAUGUCACUUCUAUUCUUGAUUCUGCCACAGGCUCUCUGUGCUCUUGGGAGAGUCAACUUCUGUGUGCCUCAGUUUUCCCCCUUUGUGAAAUGGGGGAAAUCUACAUGAUAGGAGAGUUGGAAGGCUGAAUUCAGUAAUGUAUGCAAAGCACUUUGAGAUCCUUGGAAGGCUGUUUAUAAAUACCAAAUAUUAAAUGUAGCAUCAUAAUAAGUGGUAUUUCUCUUUAAUGAGAGGAGGUAGCUCAGUAAGUGCUAUUUGGAGUGUCACUGAUGGUGAUCAGGAGUGUUUCCUGUGAAAAUGAUGCACUACAAGCUAGGUAUGUACUUGGCAUGGCUAAACUGCUACCAUUGCUACAAUGCUAUUUAUGCUUGUGCCAACUCAGUGGUACUCAGACUGAGGCUCGUGAGUCGCAAGUGACUCUUUAAUGUGUCUCCUGUGGGUCUUUGCAGCACAGGAUAUUAAAAUGUGAUUUAAUUAGUAACCAGUCAGGAUGAUUUUACUAUAUAGAGAGAGAGAGUGAAACAAAUUCAUAUAUAUAGAGAGAGAGAAACUGUGAAUUCACACUAUUGUGGCUUUUGGGUAAUGGUCACUAAUUUGGCUCCUGAACCACUGAGGUCUGAGUAUUACUGCCUUAGCUCAUAGCAUAGAUGUACCGGUAGAUCAGAUCAUUUUCAUCUUUGGCAUUGUUUUUAGUAAUGUGUGUGCAACUGAGUGUGUACAUGCCUAUAUGCAGUGUAGUAUCCUAUGGUGAAAUGAAAAGGUGGUGAAAGACAUACCUAAACCCCUCUGGACAAGGGUGACAGGAUUAAGGAAACUCCCUUAGCCUCAUUUGCAUAAAAAAGAUGAGAUGGGGAGGCAUCUCCCUUAGCAUACAGAAUGGAGAACAGAGAUUCCAAGGCAAAAACUGCACUGAACUCUGGGACCAGAACAGCAGGAAAGCCCUGCAUGAUGGGGGAUCUCUGCUCCAGAUGUUAAUGAACCCAUGUCUGCA